AUUGAACGCUGGCAGCAGGCUUAACACAUACAAGUCGAACGGUGUCUUCGGACAUAGUGGCGCACGGGUGCGUAACACGUAUGCAACCUACCUUACAUUGGGGGAUAGCCUAUCGAAAGGGAGAUUAAUACCGCAUAAGACAGUAGCUGGGCAUCCAGCAGCUGUUAAAGAUUUAUCGAUGUAAGCUGGGCAUGCGUCCAAUUAGCUAGUUGGUGAGGUAACGGCUCACCAAGGCAAUGAUUGGUAGGGGAACUGAGAGGUCAAUCCCCCACACUGGCACUGAGAUACGGGCCAGACUCCUACGGGAGGCAGCAGUAGGGAAUAUUGGGCAAUGGACGCAAGUCUGACCCAGCCAUGCCGCGUGCAGGAUGAAGGCGUUAUGCGUUGUAAACUGCUUUUAUACAGGAAGAAACGACUCUUGCGAGAGGCAUUGACGGUACUGUAUGAAUAAGCACCGGCUAACUCCGUGCCAGCAGCCGCAGUAACAC
rnacentral:rRNA from 1 species